GCUUUCAGGCCUCCUUUGAAGAAUCAACCAUUUUCUCUUGGUGAUCGUAAAAGGAGAAACAGCGACACUGAAACUGGCCUCACAGGGUUCAUAGUCUGUCAUGUGGCACAUGGGCUAGUUUCAAACAAGG
rnacentral:snoRNA from 1 species